CUGGGCCCCGCCUCCCGCGGCCGGUGCGCGUGCGCGCGCGCGCGCGCCGCGGCCAGGGGACUCGCUUGUUUUCUCCUUUACUCUUUGCUGUUUUAUUCUUAUUCUCUUUUUGGGGGGCUUGAGUGUCGAGCGGAGCUGGAAAGGCUAGCAGGGUAUCAAAAACCCACAUCCACAAAUGCAUGGUGGGGGGAGAGAGAGAGGCUGGCGAACCGCCUCCCCCCGUGCUCACGCGUGGACUCGGCUCUGUUUACUGCUUGCUCGCUCGCCAGAGGCUGACAGCAGAGCUGAGCGCGGGUCUGGGUGGCUGAGAUGCCAGGUGCGGGGAAGUGACCGAAGGAGAUGUUUCCUGACAUCGUUGUGGGUGUUUUUUGUUUUUGUUUUUUUUACGUGUAGUAUCUAUAGGUGGCACAGCGAAAUGUAAAUAAAAGAACCUGUGACUCUGCGCUAAUCCCGUUCUAUAUGUAUUCUAAUUCUCCCUUCUCGCGAUAGAAUCACGUUUCUUUGGCUGCAGAAUGAAGACAUCAAAAUGUAAAAUAGAAAUAUUAAUGUUUACUUGAUGAAUAUGACCUUGACAUUUCAGUUCCCGGGGUUUGAUUUUGUUUUUGUGGGUCAGCUCCAUUCAGCUGUUACCACCAGCAGUCCAAAACCAAAUCAUACCAGCUCUAGAGGCAGAAAGAAUACUGCUGUUGCAAUUUUGCAAUCUCUUUCUCAAUGCAUGCUCCAGGUCACGGGUAUAUUAGCAGUGUUCAGUGUUGUUUUUCCUACAGGGCUGUUGUUUAGCACACUAAGCACGUUGUGUAGGGUUGCAAUUAAUCUUAGACCCCAUUAUAGGUUGCAGAACGUUUUCACCUCCUGGGGAAAAUGGUGCGUUAAAAAUGCAAAUCAUCAUUUAUACAGAACGGAUCAUCUAUUAAAAGAGUUCACCAUUGCAGAAGAACAGUUGCACCACUUUCAUCUUUGUUACCAGGAAGUAUGUUGUAUUUUUUACAAAUUGAAGGAAAGAUCCUCCACCAGCAAGAAGAUUACAACUUGCUUUAUUACGAUACUUUAUUGAAGUGGUCUGGAACUGAAUUCACAGUAUCUCCAAGGACUUGGAAGGGGUUGAAUAGAUAUGUUCUCUGUACCCGGCUACUCUUAUACUACUGUGGCAAAGAAGCACAACAGACCACUGAUAACAAGAGAAGCAUGCAAUGCUGCACUGUUGGCAAUCUUUGGGUAACUAAAGAUUCUCCUGGCUAUCAUCAAUCAAAGAAGAGGUUUGACAGUCAAAUUUCCCAAUACUUUAGAAAUAUCUAUUUUUUUCACCUGUUAUAAUUUAUUGCAUAGAAAAAAAUCUGGAUGAAUAAACAUGUUAAUAGUGUUCAUACUCCAAAGGAAUGAGAUCACUGGAGAGAGAGUUCCAUUUUAACUUUACACUCUUUGCAGUGUGCCCUCACUGGUUGGGCUUAGUGGUUAGGGCUGAGGGGUUUCGGGUUCAAUUCAUGUCAAGGUCACGUACCUCGAUUGCAGGCCCUGGGAGCGGGGUUGUGAGGGAGGCAACCAAUUGAUGUGUCCUUCUUACAUCAAUGUUUCUCUCAGUCUCUACCCAUCCCUUCCACUCUCUCUAAAUGUCAAUAAAAAAUAUCCUCAGGUCAGGAUUAACAACAACAACAAAAACCCCACAAACUUUAAUGUAUUAUAUUAACAGUCCAAAACUGAAAAUAGGCUUGUUAUUAAGACAUUUCAGUAAAUGGGUGUGACUCUCAGGUUAAAAUAAACUACUCACUACUUUCUAAAGUAAAUUUUACCAAUAUGGUUUAUAAUUAUGGGCAUUUGGCAGAAAAAUUAAUUGCAUUCACUUCUUUCCCUUCACCAGCAUUUCAUUAUUUUAUUGUAUCCAGAGCAGUAUGUCUAAUUUUUCAUGGGAUAGACUAUAUUCUUGACACAUAGUAGGUCAUUAUUAAAUGUUUGCUGGAUGAAUACAUUAAAUAAACCUUAGUCCUAUUCUAUUUUGAAAUCAGAAUAAUUUUAAAAAUAGGAUAACAGUUUGGGCUCUGAAACAGUUUUUCUUUUUU